rnacentral:rRNA from 1 species
ACGGGAGGCAGCAGUGGGGAAUAUUGCACAAUGGGGGAAACCCUGAUGCAGCAACGCCGCGUGAAGGAAGACGGUCUUCGGAUUGUAAACUUUUGUUCUUAGUGAAGAUAAUGACGGUAGCUAAGGAGAAAGCCACGGCUAACUACGUGCCAGCAGCCGCGGUAAUACGUAGGUGGCAAGCGUUGUCCGGAAUUACUGGGUGUAAAGGGAGCGCAGGCGGGAAUGCAAGUUGGAUGUGAAAUGUCGGGGCUUAACCCCGGAGCUGCAUCUGAAACUGUAGUUCUUGAGUGAAGUAGAGGCAGGCGGAAUUCCUAGUGUAGCGGUGAAAUGCGUAGAUAUUAGGAGGAACACCAGUGGCGAAGGCGGCUUACUGGGCUUUAACUGACGCUGAGGCUCGAAAGUGUGGGUAGCAAACAGGAUUAGAUACCCUGGUA